rnacentral:rRNA from 1 species
UGGUCUAAUAUAUUGCCCUGCGAUUCGCCUUAGAGUUUGAUCCUGGCUCAGGAUAAACGCUGGCGGCGUGCCUAACACAUGCAAGUCGAACGCCCUGCGUAAGCAGGGAGUGGCGGACGGGUGAGGAACACGUGGGUUAUCUACCUUGAGGUGAGGAAUACCGGCGAGAAAUCGCCGACAAUACCGCAUACGUUUGGAGACAAACAAAGCUGAGAAAUCGGCGCCACAAGAUGAGCCUGCGCCCGAUUAGCUUCGUUGGUGGGGUAACGGCCUACCAAGGCGAUGAUCGGUAGCCGGCCUGAGAGGGCGCACGGCCACACUGGAACUGAAACACGGUCCAGACUCCUACGGGAGGCAGCAGUGGGGAAUUUUGCGCAAUGGGGGAAACCCUGACGCAGCAACACCGCGUGGAGGAUGAAGUCCCUUGGGACGUAAACUCCUUUCGACCGGGACGAUAAUGACGGUACCGGUGGAAGAAGCCCCGGCUAACUUCGUGCCAGCAGCCGCGGUAAUACGAGGGGGGCGAGCGUUGUUCGGAAUUAUUGGGCGUAAAGGGCGCGUAGGCGGUGCGGUAAGUCACCUGUGAAACCUCUAGGCUUAACCUAGAGCCUGCAGGCGAAACUGCCGUGCUGGAGUGUGGGAGAGGUGCGUGGAAUUCCCGGUGUAGCGGUGGAAUGCGUAGAUAUCGGGAGGGACACCUGUGGCGAAAGCGGCGCACUGGACACAACUGACGCUGAGCGCGAAAGCUAUGGGAGCAAACAGGAUUAGAUACCCUGGUAGUCUAGCCUUAACGAUGGAUGCUUGCUGUGUUGGGUACCCAAUCCCAACGUGCGAAGCUAACGCGAUAAGCAUCCUGCUUCGGGAGUACGUUCGCAGGCUGAAACCAAUGAAUUGACGGGGGUCCGCCAAGCGUGGAGCAUGUGGUCAAUUCACUCACCGAGACCUUACUAGCUCGAACGCCAUGACGGGUGGAAUUACU